rnacentral:misc_RNA from 1 species
UCCAACUUACCUGGGCUUGACAUGCAGGGGAAAGUCCUGAGAAACCAGGACCCCUCUUCGGAGUCCCUGCAGCACCUGUCACUCGUCCAGCCGAACUGAAGGGAUCCAUCUCUGGAUCCCGCGACGAGGAUGUCAAACGCUGGUAAGGUUCUGCGCGUUGCUUCGAAUUAAACCACAUGCUCCACCGCUUGUGCAGGCCCCCGUCAAUUUCUUUGAGUUUUAACCUUGCGGCCGUACUCCCCAGGCGGAUAACUUAAUGCGUUAGCUGCGCCACCGAAAGCCUAAGGCCCCCGACAGCUAGUUAUCAUCGUUUACGGCGUGGACUAC